GAUGAACGCUGGCGGCGUGCCUAAUACAUGCAAGUCGAGCGAACGGACGAGAAGCUUGCUUCUCUGAUGUUAGCGGCGGACGGGUGAGUAACACGUGGAUAACCUACCUAUAAGACUGGGAUAACUUCGGGAAACCGGAGCUAAUACCGGAUAAUAUUUUGAACCGCAUGGUUCAAAAGUGAAAGACGGUCUUGCUGUCACUUAUAGAUGGAUCCGCGCUGCAUUAGCUAGUUGGUAAGGUAACGGCUUACCAAGGCAACGAUGCAUAGCCGACCUGAGAGGGUGAUCGGCCACACUGGAACUGAGACACGGUCCAGACUCCUACGGGAGGCAGCAGUAGGGAAUCUUCCGCAAUGGGCGAAAGCCUGACGGAGCAACGCCGCGUGAGUGAUGAAGGUCUUCGGAUCGUAAAACUCUGUUAUUAGGGAAGAACAGAUGUGUAAGUAACUGUACACAUCUUGACGGUACCUAAUCAGAAAGCCACGGCUAACUACGUG
rnacentral:rRNA from 1 species